AGCAGACAUAGCAAUUGGAGAGGACGGUUUUAUCCACUGACUGUCAGAUGAUGAUUGGAGGAGGCUGGGCUUGUGACUCGGCAGCUGCAUGAGCAGGAUGUUUGGAGGCAAGCAGCAUGGACCAGAUAGACUUUUUCCAGAUAAAGUGAUCCUCAGGCAGAGUGGCUUGGUGGCAGGUGAAGUUCCCAAGAUGUUUGGUUCCUACUUCCAGAUUUGAGGGUUCCACUUGAUGGCUGAUAAUCCGAGGCACCUGAGUAAUCCACCAUGAAGGUGUGGAUGAUCAGAGCAGGAAUCAAUCAGGAAACAGGAAGGCGGAAAACAUCCAAAUCAUCACAGACAAGAAUGCUCUCCCAAAAUGCUCUAAGAAAAGAAUAAAUGUUCUCUCACUGAACUGAAUAGAACCAAAGAAACAAACAGAGACUCUCCAGAUGGACACUCCAGAUGCAGGCUGCAUCUGCAUAUUCUUCAGCCUAACUUUAUGGGAUUUACCUUUCUAAAGUGUUUUAUUCAGCUGAUAUUUUAAUUACUUUUUUAUUUUUAUUUCAUCUGACAAAUGCUGCAGAUGAACUGUGUUCCUUUUGAUAGUCUUUUUGGUGCUAAGACGGUGGAAUUAUACUGCUUGACCUGUCUUCAACUUGAUCAGUGAGAACACGCUGCAUGUUCUCCUCCAUCUGAGGAAAUCAUCUCCAACAAACUAGGUGAUUUGAACUCGUAGAAAACUGAUGCCAGACCGACAUGAACCCUGGGGCGUGAGAUCCGACCACUGUUCCUGCAAGUGGUGAUGCACUCCUGGAGCUGAGUCAAGGUCUUUUGUGCGUCCACGGGAGUCCAACCUGUGAAUGUGUAACAUCCACUCUUCAGCUCCUCCUGCCUGGGUCAGUGACUGUGGGAAGAACCUCCUGACGAUCAGAUCUCCAGAUCCUUGCUUGCUCAUUAUGGUUUGGUGUCAAAAUUAUUUAAAGGGGCAGUAUUAUGUGUUUCUCAGGCAUAUAUUUAAGUUCAAUGCCAUAAUAAAGUGUCCAUGUCAGCUUUAGUUGUUAUUAAAA